GACGGGCUCCCCCGCCGGCGAGUCCUACACCAAGGCCGUUUUUUCCCCUAGCCCUGAUAACGCUCGAGCUGUGCCCAAAUCUGCCCCAGCAUCAGAGCUACGGGCCAGGUGCCGGCGCCAGGUCCCGCAGCGGCACCGCGGGUAGGAG